CAAGCGAAUAAGUGCACAUGGUGGAUGCCUUGGCGAUAUCAGGCGAUGAAGGACGUUGUAGCUUGCGAUAAGCUGCGGGGAGUGAGCAAACACACAUUGAUCCGCAGAUUUCCGAAUGGGGAAACCCGGCCUUUUGGGUCAUCGCACUCUGAAUACAUAGGGGUGCGAAGCGAACGCGGCGAACUGAAACAUCUAAGUAGCUGCAGGAAAAGAAAUCAACCGAGAUUCCCAAAGUAGUGGCGAGCGAAAUGGGACCAGCCUGCAAGAUUUAGCAGUAUUGAUAGCAAAACACACUGGAAAUUGUGGCCAUAGCGGGUGAUAGCCCCGUAUGCGAAAUCAGUAUUGUGGAACUAAGCUUGCGACAAGUAGGGCGGGGCACGUGAAACCCUGUCUGAACAUGGGGGGACCAUCCUCCAAGGCUAAAUACUCGAUAUCGACCGAUAGUGAACCAGUACCGUGAGGGAAAGGCGAAAAGAACCCCGGAAGGGGAGUGAAAUAGAUCCUGAAACCGUGUGCAUACAAACAGUCGGAGCCUCGUAAGGGGUGACGGCGUACCUUUUGUAUAAUGGGUCAGCGACUUACAUUCAGUGGCGAGCUUAACCGAAUAGGGAAGGCGUAGCGAAAGCGAGUCCGAACAGGGCGAUUUAGUCGCUGGGUGUAGACCCGAAACCAGAUGAUCUACCCAUGGCCAGGAUGAAGGUGCCGUAACAGGUACUGGAGGUCCGAACCCACUAGUGUUGAAAAACUAGGGGAUGAGCUGUGGGUAGGGGUGAAAGGCUAAACAAAUCUGGAAAUAGCUGGUUCUCUCCGAAAACUAUUUAGGUAGUGCCUCAAGUAUCACCACCGGGGGUAGAGCACUGUUAUGGCUAGGGGGUCAUCGCGACUUACCAAACCAUUGCAAACUCCGAAUACCGGUGAGUGCGAGCUUGGGAGACAGACGUCGGGUGCUAACGUCCGGCGUCAAGAGGGAAACAACCCAGACCGCCAGCUAAGGUCCCCAAGAUUGGCUAAGUGGAAAACGAAGUGGGAAGGCUAAAACAGUCAGGAGGUUGGCUUAGAAGCAGCCAUCCUUUAAAGAAAGCGUAAUAGCUCACUGAUCGAGUCGUCCUGCGCGGAAGAUGUAACGGGGCUAAGCCAGUCACCGAAGCUGCGGAUAUGUGCUUUGCACAUAUGGUAGGAGAGCGUUCUGUAAGCCUGCGAAGGUGUCUUGUAAAGGAUGCUGGAGGUAUCAGAAGUGCGAAUGCUGACAUGAGUAGCGAUAAACAGGGUGAAAGGCCCUGUCGCCGUAAGCCCAAGGUUUCCUGUUCAACGUUCAUCGGAGCAGGGUGAGUCGGCCCCUAAGGCGAGGCAGAGAUGCGUAGCUGAUGGGAAGCAGGUUAAUAUUCCUGCACCGUCGUUAGAUGCGAUGGGGGGACGGAUCGCGGAAGGUUGUCCGGGUGUUGGAUGUCCCGGUCCCUGUGCUGGAGAAGGCGCUUAGGCAAAUCCGGGCGCAUGAUUCAAGGGCAUGGGGCCAGCGGCUUUAAGCUGCGAAGCAAUCGGAAGUGGUUCCAAGAAAAGCCUCUAAGCUUCAGUCUAACGAGACCGUACCGCAAACCGACACAGGUGGGCGAGAUGAGUAUUCUAAGGCGCUUGAGAGAACUCGGGAGAAGGAACUCGGCAAAUUGGUACCGUAACUUCGGGAUAAGGUACGCCCUUGUAGCUUGACUGGCCUGCGCCAGGAGGGUGAAGGGGUUGCAAUAAACUGGUGGCUGCGACUGUUUAAUAAAAACACAGCACUCUGCAAACACGAAAGUGGACGUAUAGGGUGUGACGCCUGCCCGGUGCUGGAAGAUUAAAUGAUGGGGUGCAAGCUCUUGAUUGAAGUCCCAGUAAACGGCGGCCGUAACUAUAACGGUCCUAAGGUAGCGAAAUUCCUUGUCGGGUAAGUUCCGACCUGCACGAAUGGCGUAACGAUGGCCACACUGUCUCCUCCCGAGACUCAGCGAAGUUGAAGUGUUUGUGAUGAUGCAAUCUACCCGCGGCUAGACGGAAAGACCCCAUGAACCUUUACUGUAGCUUUGCAUUGGACUUUGAACCAAUCUGUGUAGGAUAGGUGGGAGGCUUUGAAGCGGUGACGCCAGUUGCCGUGGAGCCAACCUUGAAAUACCACCCUGGUUUGUUUGAGGUUCUAACCUUGGCCCGUUAUCCGGGUCGGGGACAGUGCAUGGUAGGCAGUUUGACUGGGGCGGUCUCCUCCCAAAGUGUAACGGAGGAGUUCGAAGGUACGCUAGGUACGGUCGGACAUCGUGCUAAUAGUGCAAUGGCAUAAGCGUGCUUAACUGCGAGACCGACAAGUCGAGCAGGUACGAAAGUAGGACAUAGUGAUCCGGUGGUUCUGUAUGGAAGGGCCAUCGCUCAACGGAUAAAAGGUACUCUGGGGAUAACAGGCUGAUUCCUCCCAAGAGUUCAUAUCGACGGGGGAGUUUGGCACCUCGAUGUCGGCUCAUCACAUCCUGGGGCUGUAGCCGGUCCCAAGGGUAUGGCUGUUCGCCAUUUAAAGUGGUACGUGAGCUGGGUUUAAAACGUCGUGAGACAGUUUGGUCCCUAUCUGCCGUGGGCGUUGGAAGUUUGAGGGGGGCUGCUCCUAGUACGAGAGGACCGGAGUGGACGAACCUCUGGUGUACCGGUUGUCACGCCAGUGGCAUUGCCGGGUAGCUAAGUUCGGAAGAGAUAACCGCUGAAAGCAUCUAAGCGGGAAACUUGCCUCAAGAUGAGACUUCCCCAGGCCUUGAGCCUGCUAAAGGGUCGUUCGAGACCAGGACGUUGAUAGGUCAGGUGUGGAAGCGCAGUAAUGCGUUAAGCUAACUGAUACUAAUUGCCCGUGCGGCUUGUCCC
rnacentral:rRNA from 1 species